rnacentral:rRNA from 1 species
ACUCCUACGGGAGGCAGCAGUGGGGAAUAUUGGACAAUGGGCGAAAGCCUGAUCCAGCCAUGCCGCGUGUGUGAAGAAGGUCUUCGGAUUGUAAAGCACUUUAAGUUGGGAGGAAGGGCAGUAAGUUAAUACCUUGCUGUUUUGUACGUUACCAACAGAAUAAGCACCGGCUAACUUCGUGCCAGCAGCCGCGGUAAUACGAAGGGGUGCAAGCGUUAAUCGGAAUUACUGGGCGUAAAGCGCGCGUAGGUGGUUCAGCAAGUUGGAUGUGAAAUCCCCGGGGCUCAACCUGGGGAACUGCAUCCAAAACUACUGAGCUAGAGUACGGUAGAGGGUGGUGGAAUUUCCUGUGUAGCGGUGAAAUGCGUAGAUAUAGGAAGGAACACCAGUGGCGAAGGCGACCACCUGGACUGAUACUGACACUGAGGUGCGAAAGCGUGGGGAGCAAACAGGAUUAGAUACCCCUGGUAGGAUAGCG